rnacentral:pre_miRNA from 1 species
AAAAGCUGGCGGAAAAAAUCGUCUUGAAUAUCUGACGAUUUGUUUCGGCAGCUUUUGG